CAACCAUUACGCCAGCAUCCUAGCCGAAGCGCGGACCUCAGUCCCGGCUGGCCGUAUUACACCCUGGGCUAUAACACCUCCACCGAAGUGGAGGCCACAUUCCCAGAGCCUUUAUCCGGCCGCCGAAACUGAUGCUGGCCUGUCCAAACUGAGUAAACCGGUCAGAAGACCGGCCGAACAGUUUAAACAAGUCUGAUUGCAAGCGCUUCCCUUUCAACAAUUUCACGUGCUUUUUAACUCUCUUUCCAAAGUGCUUUUCAUCUUUCGAUCACUCUACUUGUGCGCUAUCGGUCUCUCGCCAAUAUUUAGCUUUAGAAGAAAUUUACCUCCCAUUUAGAGCUGCAUUCCCAAACAACUCGACUCGUCGAAGGAGAUUUACAUAGGGUGCCAUUUCCUGUCACAUACGGGAUUCUCACCCUCUAUGACGUCCUGUUCCAAGGAACUUAGACAGGCGGCUUCCCCAAAUCAUCCUCUACAAAUUACAAUGCGAACCCGAAGGCUAGCUUUCAAAUUUGAGCUGUUGCCGCUUCACUCGCCGUUACUAGGGCAAUC
rnacentral:rRNA from 1 species